ensembl:lncRNA
CUCGUUUUUUUGAGAUAGUAUCUCGUUAUUUUGAGAUAGUAUCUCGUUAUUUUGAGAUAGUAUCUCGUUAUUUUGACAUAAUUAUCUCAUUAUUUUGAGAUAAUUACAGGAAGAAUCCUACCGCCAAAAGCACUGGGCUCCUCGAGUCAAAGCAAGAAGAAGGUGGGAAGCUGGGAACCACAUUGAUACUGAAGAUUGAUAGAAGUGCCAUACUUCAAAUGACUGACCAACAGCUCAAACCCUACCUCCCUUCAUAUGGCGAUCGACUGGCGGUGGUCAGCUUUUGUAGGCGGUGUGAAGGUGGCAGUGGAAGAAAAGCCAGGCUUUUCGACCGCUUACGCAGCAAGCUGCAGAGGAGGACAGAGAGAGGAGAUGAAGAAGAAACCAGUUCAGGGCAGAAUUCUGCAUCUAAAAAUGCUUUGAAGACGAUGAGGAAGGUUGAGUUAGGAUGGAUGAAUUUCGAUAAAAAAAUGGAUUGCUUCAAGCAAGUUAGAACGAAACGCGGAGGGGGCACAAGAAAGGUAACUGUCUCCAAAGAUGCUGAAAGGGAAGAUUUGAUCAAAGAAGCCAUUAAGCUGUACUUUCCCUCCAUUUUGGGACCAAUAACUUGUUUUGAUGUGGACCUGAAAGACUACCAACAGAUGGCUGUUAAUGAGGGAGUAACAGUUGGCCAAUUAUACUCCGACACAAAACUCUCUCUUCUGAGGUUCUACCUCACCACAAGAGAGAAAACCGACAGUCAUUCUAAUCAGAGGGAUGAGUCUGAGACCCCUCUCUCUCAGGAUUUUAUCGUUCCAUCACCACCUGCAAGACAACCACAAACUUUAGUUGUUGAACAAAUACAAGAAGAGGUUGUGGAUCUCUUGGACUAUGAGGAUUUGGAGAUUGAGACUACUUCAGUAGACAGCGACAUUGUACUCAUCUCUACAGGAAUCUUCUCUGGUCACACAGAACAAAGUUUGGAUGACACAUUACCAGUGUCACCACAAGCCCUACAAGCAGAGACAGAUAAGACCAAUGUCACAAUAUUGGUGGUCCACAGGGGGCAGGUGCUUCGACAGCUCAUUGCGCAUUUCCUAAACGAAAAAAUCACAGACACAAACAUCCAGUUCCAGCUCGUUCUGCCAGACGGAACUCUCGAGAAGGGGUUUGAUACAGGAGGAGUUGUGAGAGAUUGCCUUUCUGAAUUCUGGAGUGAGUUUUAUGAGCAAUGCACAACUGGAAAUGAACUGAGAGUACCUUUCCUCCGCCAUGAUUUUGGACAGCUGGAAUGGCAGAGUGUUGGUCGGAUCCUUGCCUUUGGAUGGAAAAUGGAGAGGUAUCUCCCUGUGAAGAUGGCACCAGUCAUAAUAGAGCAGGCAGCCUUUGGAUUUACAAGGGGCAAUGUUGUGGAAAACUUUCUGAAGUACAUGCCGAAUCUGACCGUUCACUCAUGGAGUCGUGGUGCUCAGACUUCACCAGUGUUGAUGAAGAUGAAUUAAUUGAAGUCCUUGACAACUAUGGUUGCAGGAGGAUACCAACAGCUCAAAAUGCUGAUGCUGUUCUUAAAGAGCUAGCACACAAAACUGUCAUUCAAGAGCCAGCGUAUGUGAUUGAACAGUGGAUGGAGGUCUUGAGUACAACAAUUAAAAGCCUUGAAGACCUUACAACAGCUUAUGAAACUCUUCAACCAACUGGGAGAAAGAUUCUGAAGUCCCUUUACUUUCCGGACACCCUAAAUGCCCGUCAAAAAGACAUACAAAAGCACCUGACCUUGUACCUGAAGAAUGCUGACUCACAACACCUAUGCGCCUUCCUGAGAUUCUGCACAGGCUCUGAUCUGUUCUUAGGAAAGAGAAUUACCAUUAGCUUCAAUCAGCUCCAAGGACUUCAGCGUCGUCCUGUCGCACACACAUGUGGCUGUGUGCUGGAGUUGUCUGUUCAUUACGACAGUUACCCCGAUUUCAGUUCAGAGAUGAACAAAGUUCUGGAAUGCAAGGUGUGGGUGAUGGACAUUGUUUGAAGCUCAUAGUCAGUUUAUGUUCUUGGAGAAUAACAUGUUUUGCACUGUAAAACACAAAUGCUCUUAAUAGACACAUUUUCUCCACUAUCAUAAGCAGGGUUUUUUAUGAUAAUAUUGCAUGUUCUGCACUUUGAGUAAUCACAUGUUCUGUGAAUAUUUGUAGUAUCAAAGGUUCUGUACGUUUUAGUUCAAGUGGUCAACACAAUAAUGUGUAUGUUUUGGUAAAAUAACUCAAUUAGAUGGUGAGCUCCUUGUUUUAAUCUGUUUAUAUAAAUGAACACUACAUAUUUAUGAUGUAGUUAUGUACACAUAUGCUGUGAUGAAUGUAGGUUGAAAUCACAUAUCACUGCUGAGAUUUAUGAUGUAAUUGUCAUCAGUUUACGUGAUCUUAAAAUGUUCUGUGCAGUGAGGUACUGCCAAAAGAUAUUUGGAAUGUUUUUGCAAUGCAGUUUUAUUCUGAAAUGAAUAAAUUAAUAGAAACAGUUGCAUUCAUUGAAG